CAGCUGUACAUGGAUUGUGUGUCUAUGCAGCGAUACAUGGCUUGUGCUAUGCAGUGAUGUAUGAAUUGUGUUUAUAUGCAAUACACUGGAUCUUGCUACACAUUCCACAUUGUAUCCAAUAAAAAAGGGACACAGUGUUAUCAAGUGAUACCGUUCCAUUAUCCCAGUUAUAAUCAGAUCACUCAAAACCUUUGGCAGUUCCAUGUCAUGGGAGCUUCCACCAAACCUGGAUUUGCAGUUAAUUUGCAGCUAAUCAUGGCGUGUAUGGAGUAUUUCAGAUCUGAAAGGCAGUUACAAUAAAACAAUAAAAUAUAAUUUGUUGACCCUUAAAGUAAAUGUAAAGUCACCCAAUAGAGGUGUCGGGAGAGUGGGAGUCAUCUUCGCACCAGUUAAUAUAGCGUUACUUUCCACAGCUUAAGGCACCGAGAAAUGUUAUUAACGCUGCAUACAUUAGCACAGGCCCAGCUGUUUUACAUACGCAUUGCAUAUUGCAGGAAUUUCCAUUCAGAAUUAGGAAAUGUGGGUCGGAAUGGUAAACCAUGGCAGCUGCUCACGUUUAUUGUCAUCUGUGGGGUCAACAAAACCAUGUAAAUGGGGGGUUACUGGCAUGAUGGGGGAGCUAACCAUGUGAUCACAUUCAAAUG